rnacentral:rRNA from 1 species
CAGCAGUAGCCACGGUAAUACGUAGGGUGCAAGCGUUAAUCGGAAUUACUGGGCGUAAAGCGUGCGCAGGCGGUUAUAUAAGACAGAUGUGAAAUCCCCGGGCUCAACCUGGGAACUGCAUUUGUGACUGUAUAGCUAGAGUACGGCAGAGGGGGAUGGAAUUCCGCGUGUAGCAGUGAAAUGCGUAGAUAUGCGGAGGAACACCGAUGGCGAAGGCAAUCCCCUGGGCCUGUACUGACGCUCAUGCACGAAAGCGUGGGGAGCAAACAGGAUUAGAUACCCCUGUAGUCCCUGUCUCUUAUAC